AUACGUAGGGUGCGAGCGUUGUCCGGAAUUAUUGGGCGUAAAGGGCUCGUAGGCGGUCUGUCGCGUCGGAAGUGAAAACUCGGGGCUCAACCCCGAGCCUGCUUUCGAUACGGGCAGACUUGAGGAAUGUAGGGGAGAACGGAAUUCCUGGUGGAGCGGUGGAAUGCGCAGAUAUCAGGAGGAACACCAGUGGCGAAGGCGGUUCUCUGGACAUUAACUGACGCUGAGGAGCGAAAGCGUGGGGAGCAAACAGGCUUAGAUACCCUGGUAGUCCACGCCGUAAACGGCGGGCACUAGGUGUGGGGAACAUUCCACGUUCUCCGUGCCGUAGCUAACGCAUUAAGUGCCCCGCCUGGGGAGUACGGCCGCAAGGCUAAA
rnacentral:rRNA from 1 species